CUUGGAAGGAGGCACAGUAUAUGUAACUAAACCACAUGUUCACUUUUGGUUGCUUUUUUUUCUUGCCUGCAUGCUAACUCAGAAAUUUGUGGGUAGGGAAGAAAUCUGUGAAUCACAAUGCAGCAGAGGGCGACCAAGCAGUACAUUACCACUCACAGUUGUGCUUUUAGAGCUGGUCUGUAGCAGUUGUCCUUGUGCCAAAGGCAAAUAUUACGUUUGCACCUUUUUUUCCUCCCUGAUUCUCAGGUUAAUACUGCUAAUGCAAAUGUUCAAGUAGAUAUUCUUUAAAAAUAGAUUCAAGUGACACUUUCUUUUACAAGUGAGUAAAUUCAUGAACUACAGCAGGUUUGUAUCAAACAAGUUUUUAAAAUGGAAACCUGUUGGUUAAUGUGUACACAAUAUGCUUCUUUGACUAUUAAGAUCCUUGGUCUCUGCUAGACCUCACAAGUUUGUCAUUUAGAAGGGUAGCAGAUGAACUAAUGUGGUCUCCUUCGGGUAUAAACCCAACAAAUACCUAGUUUUACUUGCUUUUCAGUACACUGAAUAAUUUUAAGUAACUCAGACACUGAUAAGUAUAGGACCCUUUGGCUUAUAGUGCUGGAUAAAUUCUGGGGAAACAACUCUGCCACAGUUUAAAAUAUUUACCUUCUUGUUUUUUAUAGUAUAUCCUGGUGAUUUUCCUCUUUUGAGAUUAUUGCUCAGAGGAAAGAUCUAGGAUUGUUCAAAUGGGAUAGAAAUGGUAAACUUCUUUUGUUCUGAGACAUUUCCCCAAAAAGUGGAGAUUUAUACUUUUCAUUUUCACUUACCACCUCCCCCACCAUGGUCAAAGUAUCACAGCUGAUGGCCUAGGUAAUCUCCUUAGGAGAAGUAAGCUCCCUAGACAUGUGACAGCAUUUAACAUAGUACCUGGCACACUGCACUGAGCAAAAUUUUGGCUCUAUUAUGAGACUGCUUUUUCCUAUUUGGGUGUGCCCUGUGCCUAAUGAUGCAUACUAGUCCUAACUCUAAACCUGCUAUACUUGAACAUCACUAAGGGAAGUAACAAGAAGCUAACAAUCUGAGGCCAAAGUUGUUUCCUAACAGCUUUAAUAGCUUGAUUUUGAAUCAUCUUUUAAAAAGUGGACCAUUUGCUUAACUAUUCUAAUAUCACCUCAAUAAAAUGUUAGUAUUAAAAAGAUCAGUGUUGUGCAUUGAGGACAUUAUGCAUUAAGACACAAAAAUUGUUGGUGUAUAUCAUAGGUGGAGGAAAGGUUGCAGGUUGGAUGAAAAUGUAACUGAUUAGCGUAUUUAUUCAGAAUUGCAACCCCAUCCCUGGUUAUGUGUCUGUGGGGCAUAGUUAUGACAUCAUCUGGACUUGCAGAUAAAUGUAUCUUUGGAUACAACCCUGUGUAUCAUCUGUUAGCAGUUGACAGACUGUUCUCGUGCUGGUGGAAGAGACUAAGGUGGAGCCCACUCUUCUAUGCUGGUGUUAUCAGGCACUGCAAUUCUCUUACUAUGCUAGUCUGCUGGUUUUUUGUUUUUAGGUUUUGGUACUUCACAUAAGCAAUGUUAGAAGGUACAAGUGUAUUAAUAUCACUAGUUCCUAAGAGUUUGGGUACAUUUAUCUUAAUAUAUGUAGAAUGUAACUUUUUUUCCUUUUGGCAAAACUACUCUUACCCUUUUAGGUCCAACUAUUGACAGUCUACUGUGAGAAUGAGAUGACAUAUCUACUGUGAGAAUAACAUAAAUGAUAGUUUAUUUGAAAACUUUUAUACUCAGUGGUGUUUUAUAUAUUAAGAUUAAAAAUAUAUAUACACACACGCACAUCACAUCGCUCUACUGUGGAGUUAAUGUGAAUUUUAAGAAAAUGGAAUUGCAACUACAAUCGUAUCUAAAAGAACAUUCACUCAUAGGGUUUACAAAAGCCACUAAAAGAAGAAAGUAGAUGGUGGAAAAAUGCAGUCAUCAUUUUGGUGUUAUUUUUGUUUUAAAAUUUUUAGUGCUACUUUUGAAAGAGAAUUGUUUUACUGUUCUCUUUUUGUGAUUGAAAAGUCAUCUAAUAGUAAGCAAUAUAGAAGCUACUUUUUAAUUGCUGGCAAACAGCUUUAAGUGCACUUUCUUUGAUUAUACUUCCAUUUUUUUGUUAAACUUGAAUUUCUGAAGCCUUUUAUGUACCACUAAGCAAAUAAUUUUACUUUUAAAUCAGAUUUACAUUUUUAUUAUAUUUCUAAUUGUUGUAAAAUGUACUUUCUAAAGUAUCUUCAGUCUUAAAAUAUAGCUGGGAAACUGUUAUGAGAUAGAAGCAGUUGCUUUUCCCCAAAUCUAAUUAAGCACUAAUUUUAUUACUUUGUCUUUACAUUGCUUAUUCUUCAAUUCUGUCCCUGAUUCACUUUGUUUUGUUUGAAAUUUAAAGUUAUUUUCUUACGGUAUUUAUCAUACUUGUUUUAAUAAUCUGCUUUCUUUAAAUGCAAUAAAUCCCCAAUGGAUUGCCUAUUCUUUAUAAUCAGUGACUUUGGAGUUUUUCAUUAUCUGUCUCAUUAAAGUUUUGGAUAUAAACUUC
ensembl:lncRNA